rnacentral:rRNA from 1 species
AUUGAACGCUGGCGGCAUGCCUUACACAUGCAAGUCGAACGGCAACAGGUCUUCGGAUGCUGACGAGUGGCGAACGGGUGAGUAAUACAUCGGAACGUGCCUAGUAGUGGGGGAUAACUACUCGAAAGAGUGGCUAAUACCGCAUGAGAUCUACGGAUGAAAGCAGGGGAUCGCAAGGCCUUGUGCUACUAGAGCGGCCGAUGGCAGAUUAGGUAGUUGGUGAGGUAAAGGCUCACCAAGCCUUCGAUCUGUAGCUGGUCUGAGAGGACGACUAGCCACACUGGGACUGAGACACGGCCCAGACUCCUACGGGAGGCAGCAGUGGGGAAUUUUGGACAAUGGGCGCAAGCCUGAUCCAGCCAUGCCGCGUGCAGGAUGAAGGCCUUCGGGUUGUAAACUGCUUUUGUACGGAACGAAACGGCCUUUUCUAAUAAAGAGGGCUAAUGACGGUACCGUAAGAAUAAGCACCGGCUAACUACGUGCCAGCAGCCGCAGUAACAC